ACUUGUUUGUGUUUUCCUGCAGAGUCUAAUCCGAAACAGAAUUAUUGAUGGUAGUUUGCCGUUCUACCUGUGAUUGAACUGUUAUAGCAGCCAGUUGACAUUAAUGCAUAUGCAGAUGAUGUUUAAUGAAAUGAGAAAACUUAAAAGAAUAUAAGAAAGCAGACUGCAUUAAUUUGUCUGAUAAAAAUUAAAA